GUGAAGAUGACGACAAUCCAAUCUUAAGUUUCAAAACAACUUGAAAAUCCAAUUACAUAGACAUUUAAGUAAACUUGUGAGUCUAUAAGGUGAAGAUGACGACAUCCAAUCUUAAGUUUCAAAUCAACUAGAAAAUCCAAUCGCAGAGACAUUUAAGUAAACUUGUAAGUCUAGAAAGUGAAGAUGACGACAAUUCAAUCUUAAGUUUAUAACAACUAGAAAAUCCGAUCGCAACAAAAUAUCAUCAAUUUAUAAUGAACAUGAAAUG
rnacentral:lncRNA from 1 species